rnacentral:rRNA from 1 species
CGCGUAGGCGGUUAUAUAAGUCGGAUGUGAAAGCCCCGGGCUCAACCUGGGAACUGCAUUCGAUACUGUAUAACUAGAGUUUGGUAGAGGGAAGUGGAAUUCCACAUGUAGCGGUGAAAUGCGUAGAUAUGUGGAGGAACACCAGUGGCGAAGGCGACUUCCUGGACCAAAACUGACGCUGAGGUGCGAAAGCGUGGGUAGCAAACA